rnacentral:rRNA from 1 species
GAAUCCCGUAUAUGGCAUGGACUCCCGUUGCUCUGUGAUACACUCUCGACGAGUCGAGUUGUUUGGGAAUGCAGCUCUAAAUGGGUGGUAAAUGCCAUCUAAAGCUAAAUAUUGGCGAGAGACCGAUAGCGAACAAGUACCGUGAGGGAAAGAUGAAAAGCACUUUGGAAAGAGAGUGAAACAGUACGUGAAAUUGUUGAAAGGGAAACGCUUGAAGUCAGUCGCGCCGUUCGGGAUUCAGCCUUGCUUCUGCUCGGUUUACUUCCCGUUGGGUGGGUCAACAUCAGUUUCGGUCGGAGGAGAAAGACUUGGGGAAGGUAGCAGCAUUCGUGCUGUGUUAUAGCCCCUUGUUGUAUACUUCGAUUGGGACUGAGGACCGCAGCACGCCUUUGGCCGGGGUUCGCCCACGUACGUGCUUAGGAUGUUGGCAUAAUGGCUUUAAGCGACCCGUCUUGAAACACGGACCAAGGAGUCUAACAUGUGCGCGAGUGUUUGGGUGUUAAACUCGGACGCGAAAUGAAAGUGAAAGGUUGGGAACACUUAUGUGUGCACCAACGCCCGGAGCUGACCUUCUGUGACGCAUCUGCGGUAGAGCGUAUAUGUUGGGACCCGAAAGAUGGUGAACUAUGCCUGAAUAGGGUGAAGCCAGAGGAAACUCUGGUGGAGGCUCGUAGCGAUUCUGACGUGCAAAUCGAUCGUCAAAUUUGGGUAUAGGGGCGAAAGACUAAAUCGAACCAUCUAGUAGCUGG